rnacentral:lncRNA from 1 species
UUUCUUUGUUCCGUUCUCGAACAAUAUUUUGUGUUUUGGUCUCAAGUUCGUUGUCUAGCUGUUGAUUUGGCUCGUUGCUUCUGUUUCUGGUUUUAAUAUGGUUGUAUGAGUUUUCGAUAGAUAUACAUUAUUUUCUUCUGUUUGUGUUUUAAAAUUACUCGAAUGUAUGUGUAUGGACGCCGGAGGGCCGAUCAUUCCUCUCUUGUUCGCUGCUUGUAUUUCCCCUAUGUCUUAGCUUGAUUUUCAAAGUAACGUCUUCAUAGCUUGAGUAUGAAAUCAGUUCAUAAUUUAUCCAUUUAAAUAGCAUCAUUUAUUUUGCUUGUUUACUGUGUAAAUUGCAUAUAGGAUGGGAUGUUUAGUUUCAAAUCCAGUAGCUAGUACUGAUUUCGGUUCAUUAUUUGUCGCUUGGGUAUUC